UUUCUGAUCUCACUCUGCCUCUAACACACUGCAGGUUAUUUCUGAUCUCACUCUGCCUCUAACACACUGCAGGUUAUUUCUGGUCUCACUCUGCCGGUUAUUUCUGGUCUCACUCUGCCUCUAACACACUGCAGGUUAUUUCUGGUCUCACUCUGCCUCUAACACACUGCUGGUUAUUUCUGGUCUCACUCUGCCUCUAACACACUGCAGGUUAUUUCUGGUCUCACUCUGCCUCUAACAUCGAGGCACUCUGGGCCAGGCUAGUAGAGCUGGCAGACCCCCGGGUGGCUCAGCAAAGGUCAAAGGGAACUGGGCUGCCAUUGCCAGACUGACUCUGGAGAGGCUUUUCCACAGCUCUACACAACAAUGUAAUCAAAACGUCCCUUAAACACAUUUACUUCUAUAAUUCCAGUUUCUCUACAUUCCUAACGUGUUAAUUUGCAUUGAAAUGCGCACUGUGACCAAAGGCUGAGUUUAGGCUGAGUUUGGUGAGUAGGAACAUGAUAAUGUGCUUUGAAUUGUCUGUGAAAGCUAUUUCCCUUGUGAAAUAACUCUGUGGUGCAAAUUAUACAUUGCGUUGAGGCGUUGAAGAUAGGCCUUCAGCUGGCUGUGGUUGCAUUCAUAACGUGGAUGUGUUUCCACUGAUGACCCCUGGGUGGCAUUAACAAACCUCUUGAGUUAGAUUCUCCUGUGGGCUGCGGACAGUGUCCCAAACCUGCUGGUGCUCUAUUUCCUCUCGUGAGGUCAUACUUCCAUUUCCAUUACCUUUGUCUUUCGAAUAAAAAUCAAGAUUAUAUCUUAAUAUUCAGGAAAAUGCUGUUGUUUUAAACAUAUACAAACGUAUAUUUGUGCAUACAAUUUCUCUAAUUUAAUGUUUCCUUAUUUAUAAAAAAUGAUGUUGAUGCUCAAAGAAGUAAGACAUUAAGUUACAGAAGCCUCAUUUUAACUCUUGCAAUGUAGUUCAUCGUGAUCUAACAUGUCCGCUCGAGGAGAGGAUUGAAGGAAUGUAAAAACCUUUUAGCCCACAAGCUAAGAUUUAAGUAACAUUAUUUUGUCAUGUUCAUUUUAGAUAAUAUAAUUUAACAAACGUUCAUGAAGAUUUCUGUAGGAUGAUAUAUUUG
ensembl:lncRNA